AGAGUUUGAUCCUGGCUCAGGAUGAACGCUGGCGGCGUGCUUAACACAUGCAAGUCGAACGAACCUUCGGGUUAGUGGCGGACGGGUGAGUAACGCGUGAGAAUCUGCCCUCAGGAGGGGGAUAACGACUGGAAACGGUCGCUAAUACCCCAUAUGCCGAGAGGUGAAAUGAAUUUCGCCUGAGGAUGAGCUCGCGUCUGAUUAGCUAGUUGGUGGGGUAAAGGCCUACCAAGGCGACGAUCAGUAGCUGGUCUGAGAGGAUGAUCAGCCACACUGGGACUGAGACACGGCCCAGACUCCUACGGGAGGCAGCAGUGGGGAAUUUUCCGCAAUGGGCGAAAGCCUGACGGAGCAACGCCGCGUGAGGGAUGAAGGCCUCUGGGCUGUAAACCUCUUUUCUCAAGGAAGAAGAUCUGACGGUACUUGAGGAAUAAGCCACGGCUAAUUCCGUGCCAGCAGCCGCGGUAAUACGGGAGUGGCAAGCGUUAUCCGGAAUUAUUGGGCGUAAAGCGUCCGCAGGCGGCCUUGUAAGUCUGUCGUUAAAGCGUGGAGCUUAACUCCAUUUCAGCGAUGGAAACUACAAGGCUUGAGUGUGGUAGGGGCAGAGGGAAUUCCCGGUGUAGCGGUGAAAUGCGUAGAUAUCGGGAAGAACACCAGUGGCGAAGGCGCUCUGCUGGGCCAUAACUGACGCUCAUGGACGAAAGCCAGGGGAGCGAAAGGGAUUAGAUACCCCUGUAGUCCUGGCCGUAAACGAUGAACACUAGGCGUCGGGGGAAUCGACCCCCUCGGUGUCGUAGCCAACGCGUUAAGUGUUCCGCCUGGGGAGUACGCACGCAAGUGUGAAACUCAAAGGAAUUGACGGGGGCCCGCACAAGCGGUGGAGUAUGUGGUUUAAUUCGAUGCAACGCGAAGAACCUUACCAGGGUUUGACAUCCUGCGAAUCUCUUGGAAACGAGAGAGUGCCUUCGGGAACGCAGUGACAGGUGGUGCAUGGCUGUCGUCAGCUCGUGUCGUGAGAUGUUGGGUUAAGUCCCGCAACGAGCGCAACCCACGUCUUUAGUUGCCAGCAUUUAGUUGGGCACUCUAGAGAGACCGCCGGUGAUAAACCGGAGGAAGGUGUGGAUGACGUCAAGUCAUCAUGCCCCUUACAUCCUGGGCUACACACGUACUACAAUGCUACGGACAAAGGGCAGCAAACUCGCGAGAGCAAGCAAAUCCCAUAAACCGUGGCUCAGUUCAGAUCGUAGGCUGCAACUCGCCUACGUGAAGGAGGAAUCGCUAGUAAUCGCAGGUCAGCAUACUGCGGUGAAUACGUUCCC
rnacentral:rRNA from 1 species